AACCAGAAGGCGCAAUGAAAGUGAAGGCACGGCCGCCGUGCCGAGGUGAGAGCUGUCGCACGGCAGCGCAUCAUCGACCGAUCCCAUCCGCUCCCCCGUGGUGCGGCGGGAUUCGAGUAAGAGUGUACCUGUUGCGACCCGAAAGAUGGUGAACUAUGCCUGAAUAGGGUGAAGCCAGAGGAAACUCUGGUGGAGGCCCGUAGCGAUUCUGACGUGCAAAUCGAUCGUCAAAUUUGGGUAUAGGGGCGAAAGACUAAUCGAACCAUCUAGUAGCUGGUUCCCUCCGAAGUUUCCCUCAGGAUAGCUGUAGCCCGAAGCAGUUUUAUCAGGUAAAGCGAAUGAUUAGAGGUAUCGGGGAAGAAACUUCCUCGACCUAUUCUCAAACUUUAAAUAGGUAAGAAGUCCGACUUGCUCAAUCUGAAGCCGGACACAGAAUGCUGGGUUACUAGUGGGCCAUUUUUGGUAAGCAGAACUGGCGAUGCGGGAUGAACCGAACGCUGAGUUAAGGUGCCAAAGUCGACGCUCAUCAGAUCCCACAAA
rnacentral:rRNA from 1 species